rnacentral:rRNA from 2 species
UACAGAGGGUGCGAGCGUUAAUCGGAAUUACUGGGCGUAAAGCGCGCGUAGACGGUUUUGUAAGUCAGAUGUGAAAUCCCCGGGCUCAACCUGGGAACUGCAUUUGAGACUGCAUGGCUAGAGUAUGGAAGAGGGAAGUGGAAUUUCCGGUGUAGCGGUGAAAUGCGUAGAUAUCGGAAGGAACACCAGUGGCGAAAGCGACUUCCUGGUCCAAUACUGACGUUCAUGUGCGAAAGCGUGGGGAGCAAACAGG